rnacentral:lncRNA from 1 species
AUGAGGGAGGUCUGGAUGCUUCCUGCACAUGAGGAUGUGAAGUAUACCUGGAAGGAUUGGCUCCUUUUAAUUCUUGCGAACCUAUAUGAGCUAGAGCAGGCUUGUACUUUAAUAUUGUUGUGGCACAUAUGGCAUGUACAAAAUGAUAUCACUCAUGUCCUUGGAAUCGUCGUCCGUGACUGUAGCGGCAAUGUUAUCUUCAUCUCGCGCAAAGCCAUCACCCACUGUUUUGAUGCCCUUGAGGUGGAAUUGAUGGCAUGUUGGGAUGGGUUGUCGUUAACGCUACAGUGGACCUUGUUCCCAAUUAUAGUGGAAUCGGACUGCGAUGUAGCAAUAAGAUCCUUGUUAAUUAGCCAAGGAAGAUGAUUACUCCAGG